AUUGAACGCUGGCGGCAGGCCUAACACAUGCAAGUCGAGCGAGCGGCGGACGGGUGAGUAAUGUCUGGGAAACUGCCUGAUGGCGGGGGAUACCUACUGGAAACGGUAGCUAAUACCGCAUACCAUCAGAUGGGCCCAGAUGGGAUUAGCUAGUGGGUGGGGUAACGGCUCACCUAGGCGCCGGUCCCUCGCUGGUCUGAGAGGAUGACCAUCCACACGGGAACUGAGACACGGGCCAGACGCCUGCUGGAGGCAGCAGUGGGGAAUAUUGCACAAUGGGGGAAAGCCUGAUGCAGCCAUGCCGCGUGUGUGAAGAAGGCCUUCGGGUUGUAAAGCACUUUCAGCGGGGAGGCGUUACCCGCAGAAGAAGCACCGGCUAACUCCGUGCCAGCCGCCGCGGUAAUAC
rnacentral:rRNA from 1 species